rnacentral:rRNA from 1 species
AAGUAUCCCGCCUGGGGAGUACGCUCGCAAGGAGUGAAACUCAAAGGAACUUGACGGGGGCCCCGCACAAGCGGUGGAGUAUGUGGUUUAAUUCGAUGCAACGCGAAGAACCUUACCAGGGCUUGACAUAUCCGGAACCUUGCCGAGAGGUGAGGGUGCCUUCGGGAGCCGGAACACAGGUGUUGCAUGGCUGUCGUCAGCUCGUGUCGUGAGAUGUUGGGUUAAGUCCCGCAACGAGCGCAACCCACGUUCUUAGUUGCCAGCAUUGAGUUGGGCACUCUAGGGAGACUGCCGGUGACAAACCGGAGGAAGGUGUGGAUGACGUCAAGUCAGCAUGCCCCGUACGUCCUGGGCUACACACGUCACUACAAUGCUGUGGACAAAGGGCAGCCAGCCAGCGAUGGUGAGCUAAUCCCAGAAACCACGGCUCAGUUCAGAUUGCAGGCUGCAACUCGCCUGCAUGAAGGAGGAAUCGCUAGUAAUCGCAGGUCAGCAUACUGCGGUGAAUACGUUCCCGGGCCUUGUACACACCGCCCGUCACACCAUGGGACUUG